CCUACGGGCGGCAGCAGUGAGGAAUAUUGCCCAAUGGAGGAAACUCUGAGGCAGCGACGCCGCGUGGGUGAAGAAGGCCUUCGGGUCGUAAAGCCCUUUUCUGCGUGACGAGAGAAGGACGGUAGCGCAGGAAAAAGUCUCGGCUAACUACGUGCCAGCAGCCGCGGUAAAACGUAGGAGGCAAGCGUUAUCCGGAGUUACUGGGCGUAAAGCGUGCGUAGGCGGAUGGGUAAGUGGGUGGUGAAAGCGCUCGGCUAAACCGGGCGAGUGCCAUUCAGACUGUCCAUCUAGAGGCGGAUAGAGGGGUGCGGAAUUCCGGGUGUAGCGGUGAAAUGUGUAGAGAUCCGGAGGAACACCAGUGGUGCAAACGGCGCCCUGGGUCCGAACUGACGCUGAGGCACGAAAGCGUGGGGAGCGAACGGGAUUAGAUACCCCAGUAG
rnacentral:rRNA from 1 species